GACGAACGCUGGCGGCGUGCCUAAUACAUGCAAGUCGAGCGGACGGAUGGGAGCUUGCUCCCAGACCGUCAGCGGCGGACGGGUUAGUAACACGUGGGCAACCUUCCUGUAAGACUGGGAUAACUCCGGGAAACCGGGACUAAUACCGGGUAACUCCUUCCCUCAGAUGAGGUAAAUCGUAAAAAUGUCAUCUCGCUAUCCCUUACAGUGGGUCCGCGCCGCCUUUGGUAGUUGGUAAGGGUACGGGUUACCAAGGGGACGAUGCGUAGCCCCCCUGAGAGGGUGAUCGGCCACACUGGGACUGAGACACGGCCCAGACUCCUACGGGAGGCAGCAGUAGGGAAUCUUCCGCAAUGGACGAAAGUUUGACGGAGCAACGCCGCGUGAGUGAUGAAGGUUUUCGGAUCGUAAAACUCUGUUAUCAGGGAAGAACAAGUACCGAAGUAACUGCCGGCAUCUUGACGGUACCUGAUCAGAAAGCCACGGCUAACUACGUG
rnacentral:rRNA from 1 species